rnacentral:lncRNA from 1 species
AUGCUUCUAAGCUACUGGAUUGCACCUUCCAAUCACGUGCUGCCAUUAGGCCGUAACAGGUUUUUUUCAUUCAGCUGAAUUUUUGAAGCCCGUAAGCAUUGUUGUGUGCGUGUACGUGCUGGGCAUGCAGUUAGAAGCUGCUGGACCAUCCAAAAGCAAAGAGCCGUGACAUAUAUUUGCUUUGCCUAAAUUCUCCAAGCCAAUUCAAGAUGCAGCAACGUGGGUGCUAAUUCCCUGCAUGGACAACACCACUUUCUGCUAGAUGCACCUCCCAAUAUUAAUGUUUGCACCCUCUUUUCAUAAGACCAAGAAAUAAAAUGACCAUAGUG